rnacentral:rRNA from 1 species
GCAGGUUGAAGCGCGGGUAAGACCGCGUGGAGGACCGAACCCACCUGGGUUGAAAACCGGGGGGAUGACCUGGGGCUAGGGGUGAAAGGCCAAUCAAAUUCCGUGAUAGCUGGUUCUCUCCGAAAUGCAUUUAGGUGCAGCGUCGGCUUAUUGCAUCGCGGGGGUAGAGCUACCGGAUGCUUGCGGGCCCUUGUGGGGUACCAACAGCAGCCGAACUCCGAAUACCGUUGAUGUGUAUGCCGGCAGUGAGUCGGCGGGGGAUAAGCUCCGUCGUCGAGAGGGAGACAGCCCAGAUCGUCGUCUAAGGUCCCGAAGCGUGUGCUAAGUGGGAAAGGAUGUGGAGUCGCAUAGACAGCCAGGAGGUUGGCUCAGAAGCAGCCAUCCUUGAAAGAGUGCGUAACAGCUCACUGGUCUAGUGGUUCCGCGCCGACAAUGUAGCGGGGCUCAAGCACACCACCGAAGACGCGGCAGCGGCCUUUGCGGCCGUUGGGUAGGAGAGCGUCCCGCGUGGGGCGAAGCGGCCGGGGAACCGUGCCGUGGACCGCGCGGGAGUGAGAAUGCAGACAUGAGUAGCGAGAGACGGGUGAGGAUCCCGUCCGCCGGAUGACCAAGGGUUCCGGGGCCACGUUCGUCGUCCCCGGGUGAGUCGGGUCCUAAGGCGAGGCCGACAGGCGUAGUCGAAUGGAUGAACGGGUGGAUAUUCCCGUACCGGCAGCGAACCGACAGGACCGAGGCGGUGAGUACUAACCUCCGUCGCGGGCCGUUCCCCUCCUUCGGGUGGGGUCCGGCGCGUGGCGUUGGGAGCGUAGCCGUGGUAGGUGAGCGCAGGGGUGACACGGAAUGGGAGCCGGCCGCGGAGGUGGUUUUCCGUGGUCAAGCACGCAGCCCGUCCCAUAGGCAAAUCCGUGGGACGCAUAGGGUGAGGUGUGAUGAUGGGCGUCCUUUGGACGCGAUAUCCGGUGGUCCAGGCCGUCGAGAAAAGCCCCGGCGUCAGGCGCGUUGCCGCCCGUACCCCAAACCGACACUGGUGGUCAGGUAGAGAAUACCAAGGCGAUCGAGCGAAUCCUGGUCAAGGAACUCGGCAAACCGCUCCCGUGCCUUCGGCAUAAGGGAGACCCCCGCGGGUGAACGGACAUGCUCCGGGAGCGUGUGGGGGUGGCACAGACCAGGGGGUAGCGACUGUUUACCAAAAACACAGGUGCAUGCGAAGGCGCAAGCCGCUGUAUAUGCACUGACGCCUGCCCGGUGCCGGAAGGUUAAGAGGAUCCGUCAGCCCCUCUUGGGGGUGAAGCGGUGAAUUCAAGCCCCGGUAAACGGCGGUGGUAACUAUAACCAUCCUAAGGUAGCGAAAUUCCUUGUCGGGUAAGUUCCGACCUGCACGAAUGGCGUAACGACUUCCCCACUGUCUCGACCAGGAGCUCGGCGAAAUUGCAGUACGAGUAAAGAUGCUCGUUAAGCGCAGAAGGACGAAAAGACCCCGGGACCUUUACUAUACCUUGGUAUUGGCGUUAGGCGCGGAUUGUGUAGCAUAGGCGGGAGGCUUCGAAGCAUGGGCGCCAGCCCGUGUGGAGCCGCAAGGUGAAAUACCGCUCUGUUCUCGUUUGACGUCUAACCUCGAACAGUCAUCCUGUUCAGGGACAGUGCCUGGCGGGUAGUUUAACUGGGGCGGUUGCCUCCCAAAGAGUAACGGAGGCGCUCAAAGGUCCGCUCAGCCCGGUUGGCAAUCGGGUGUCGAGUGCAAUCGCACAAGCGGGCUUGACUGCGAGGACGGCGGUCCGAGCAGGGACGAAAGUCGGAGAUAGUGAUCCGGUGCCGGCGCACGGGCGCGGCAUCGCUCAACGGAUAAAAGGUACCCCGGGGAUAACAGGCUGAUCAUUCCCAAGAGUCCAUAUCGACGGGAUGGUUUGGCACCUCGAUGUCGGCUCGUCGCAUCCUGGGGCUGGAGCAGGUCCCAAGGGUUCGGCUGUUCGCCGAUUAAAGCGGCACGCGAGCUGGGUUCAGAACGUCGUGAGACAGUUUGGUCUCUAUCCUCUGCGCUCGUUGGAAUCCUGAGGAGGCCUGCCCAUAGUACGAGAGGACCUGGGUGGACGAACCUCUGGUAUGCCGGUUGUC